rnacentral:pre_miRNA from 1 species
GGCUGUGAGUUGGCUUAAUCUCAGCUGGCAACUGUGAGAUGCUCCUGUAAUCCCUCACAGUGGUCUCUGGGAUUAUGCUAAACAGAGCA